GCAGCCAUGGCGGAAUUGGUAGACGCGCGAGAUUAAGGAUCUCGUCGGGAUUUUUCCCGAUGGAAGUUCGAGUCUUCUUGGCUGCA
rnacentral:tRNA from 2 species